AUGAAUGUGCAUCCGUCCCUUCCAUCUGUGGAAACCAUUCAGAUUGCUACAACACGCAUGGCUCCUACUUCUGCAAUUGUCUCUCAGGAUUCAGCUCAUCUAAGAUGAAUUUCACAGCAGAGGACAUCCAAUGCCAAGAUAUAGAUGAGUGUUGCUCAUAUCCAUGUGGCCCCAUUCAGCAAUGCAUAAACGUUCCUGGAUCCUAUCAGUGUGAGUGCCAUAGCGGGUAUCGCAUUAGUGGACGUGGCGGCCUGGACUGCAUUGAUGUGGAUGAGUGUGUUAUGAGUCCUCAUAUAUGUGGUGCAAAUGGCACCUGCUCAAACACACCAGGCAGCUAUAACUGUACCUGUCCAUCAGGAUUUAGCAACAAAGGCAGUAUCAGCAGUGGACCUUGUACAGAUAUUGACGAAUGUGCAUUCGAAGGAUCCAUCUGUGGAGAACACUCCGACUGCCUCAAUACACCAGGAAGCUUCUCCUGCAAUUGUACAAAUGGAUUCAUCCCCUCCCGAGUUAACUUCAAAU